UACAGAGGUCUCAAGCGUUGUUCGGAUUCAUUGGGCGUAAAGGGUGCGUAGGCGGCGCGGUAAGUCGGGUGUGAAAUCUUGGAGCUUAACUCCGAAACUGCAUUCGAUACUGCCGUGCUUGAGGACUGGAGAGGAGACUGGAAUUUACGGUGUAGCGGUGAAAUGCGUAGAUAUCGUAAGGAAGACCAGUGGCGAAGGCGGGUCUCUGGACAGUUCCUGACGCUGAGGCACGAAGGUUACGGGGAGCAAACGGG
rnacentral:rRNA from 1 species